GAGUUUGAUCUUGGCUCAGGACGAACGCUGGCGGCGUGCUUAACACAUGCAAGUCGAACGGUGACGACGGAGCUUGCUCUGUCUGAUCAGUGGCGAACGGGUGAGUAACACGUGAGUAACCUGCCCCCGACUCUGGAAUAACCGUGGGAAACGACGGCUAAUACCGGAUAUGAGACGCACAGGCAUCUGUGUGUCUGGAAAGAUUUAUCGGUCAGGGAUGGACUCGCGGCCUAUCAGCUUGUGGUGGGUAAUGGCCCACCAAGGCGACGACGGGUAGCCGGCCUGAGAGGGCGACCGGCCACACUGGGACUGAGAUACGGCCCAGACUCCUACGGGAGGCAGCAGUGGGGAAUAUU
rnacentral:rRNA from 1 species